rnacentral:rRNA from 1 species
GUGUCAGCAGCCGCGGUAAUACGUAGGGUGCGAGCGUUAAUCGGAAUUACUGGGCGUAAAGCGUGCGCAGGCGGUCUCGUAAGACAGGUGUGAAAUCCCCGGGCUCAACCUGGGAACUGCGCUUGUGACUGCGAGGCUGGAGUGUGGCAGAGGGAGGUGGAAUUCCACGUGUAGCAGUGAAAUGCGUAGAGAUGUGGAGGAACACCGAUGGCGAAGGCAGCCUCCUGGGCCAGCACUGACGCUCAUGCACGAAAGCGUGGGGAGCAAACAGGAUUAGAAACCCGCGUAGUCC